rnacentral:rRNA from 1 species
AUUGAACGCUGGCGGCAUGCCUUACACAUGCAAGUCGAACGGUAACAGGUCUUCGGAUGCUGACGAGUGGCGAACGGGUGAGUAAUACAUCGGAACGUGCCUAGUAGUGGGGGAUAACUACUCGAAAGAGUGGCUAAUACCGCAUGAGAUCUACGGAUGAAAGCAGGGGAUCGCAAGACCUUGUGCUACUAGAGCGGCCGAUGGCAGAUUAGGUAGUUGGUGGGAUAAAAGCUUACCAAGCCGACGAUCUGAAGCUGGUCUGAGAGGACGAUCAGCCACACUGGGCAUGAGACACGGCCCAGAACCCUACGGGAGGCAACAGUGGUGAAUUUUGGACAAUGGGCGCAAGCCUGAUCCAGCAAUGCCGCGUGCAGGAUGAAGGCCUUCGGGUUGUAAACUGCUUUUGUACGGAACGAAAAGCCCUGGGUUAAUACCCUGGGGUCAUGACGGUACCGUAAGAAUAAGCACCGGCUAACUACGUGCCAGCCGCCGCCGUAAGAC